GACGAACGUUGGCGGCGUGCUUAAUACAUGCAAGUCAACUGAAGCAGUGGUAGCAAUAUCGCUGUGGAGGUGGCGCACGGGGGAGUAACACGUAGGUAAUCUGCCUUCAGUUCUGGCAUAACUCCUGGAAACCGCGGCUAAUAGCAGAUGAUGCAGUGUCUCGACAUCGAGUCCGUUGUUAAAGCUAUGGCUUCUGAAGACGUGCCUGCGUCUGAUUAGCUAGUUGGCGGGGUAACGACGCACCAAGGCAACGAUCAGUAGCUGGUCUGAGAGGAUGAGCAGGAACACUGAAACGGAGACACGGUCCAGACUACGACGGGAGGCAGCAGUAAGGAAUAUGGCUGAAUGGGAGAAAUCCUGAAGCAGCAACGGCGCGGGAGGGACGAAGAGCUUUUGCUUGUAAUCCUCUGUAGUGAGAGAAGAAAAACCCACUAUUCGGGACAUGAUGGUAUCUCAAAAGAAAGCCCCGGCUAACUACGUG
rnacentral:rRNA from 1 species